rnacentral:rRNA from 1 species
GUUGAACGCUGGCGGCGUGCCUAAUACAUGCAAGUCGAGCGGACAAACGAGGCGCUUGCUCCUCUGACGUGAGCGACGGACGGGUGAUUAACACGUGGAUAACCUGCCUAUAAGACUGAGAUCACUUCGGGAAACCUAAGCUAACACACGAUAAGAUAUUGAACCGCAUGGUUCAUUAGUGCACGCCCUAUUUGCUGUCACUUAUAGAUGGAUUCGGGCGGCAUUAGCUAGUGGGUAGGGUAACGGCUUACCAGGGCAACGUUGCGUAGCCGACCAGGCAGGGGGUCAGGCCAACCUGAAACUGAGACACGUCCCAGAUCCUUACGGGAGGAAGCGGGAGGAAAUUUUGCGCAAUGGGCGAAAGCCUGACGGAGCAACGCCGCGGGAGUGAUGAAGGUUUUCGGUUGGAAAAACUCUGUUAUUGGGGAAGAACAAAUGUAGAUGUAACCUUGCUCGUUUGGAGGGUACAUAAGCAGAAGGCCACGGCAAACUACGG